AUUGAACGCUGGCGGCAGGCCUAACACAUGCAAGUCGAGCGGAGCGGCGGACGGGUGAGUAAUGCCUAGGACUCUGCAUGGUAGUGGGGGAUAAGGUCCGGAAACGGGCGCUAAUACCGAAUACUAUCAGAGGAGACUAGGUCGGAUUAGCUAGUAGGUGGGGUAAAGGCUAACCUAGGCGACGAGCCCUAGCUGGUCUGAGAGGAUGACAAGCCACACUGGAACUGAGACACGGUCCAGACUCCUACGGGAGGCAGCAGUGGGGAAUAUUGCACAAUGGGCGCAAGCCUGAUGCAGCCAGGCCGCGUGUAUGAAGAAGGCCUUCGGGUUGUAAAGUACUUUCAGCGGGGAGGCGUUACCCGCAGAAGAAGCACCGGCUAACUCCGUGCCAGCAGCCGCGGUAAUUC
rnacentral:rRNA from 1 species